CUAGGUUGUGUUCAGUACAUUUAAUAUUGUAAUAAUAAUCUGAACUACCUGAACUUUAUUACCUGGCUAGUCGAAUAUUUUUGUUACCUGAAUUUAUGCUUACAGCUGAUACUCUCGUUAUUUUGUUGUCUUCUGGAAUAGAGAGGGAAGAAUAGAUCACCCUUGAGCUCGUGGAAACAGCGUAUCCACCCAACGCCACUAUCCUAUUGAUCUCGAAACUGCUAGAUUACGUGAAAUAGGGAAAGAGCAUCGCAUGGGAUGACGGGAAAUCGUACUCGCCUAAAUGUGAAGAGAACACGAAUUUCUAUGUAACUAAGUAUGCCAAUGGUUAAAACUGAUGAUUCAAGGUCCUAGGGGCAUCUGAAAUGAAGGGGUUGGCAUAGUGAUUUAAGACGCUGCAUCUAUGCUGAUAACUUCUCCGAACGACUGGCAUUCGAAUUCCACUUUAGGUGUCAUAUUGUUUCUAUUCAAUUUUAAAAUAAUAAUCAAUACAGAGUAAUCUGCAGUAAUCGCAACGACAAGAGGAUCCGUCAGAUACUGUAUUACAGAGUAAAGUCUGAAUUUUUUAUUCCUUCAAACGAGUCUUUACGUAAAAGAAAGGAUUUGAACAAUCAUAAUCUUCAUUACACUAAAACAAAGUCAAGUUAACACUUAUCGAAGUGCCUGUAGUGUAAUGACUAGUGU